rnacentral:lncRNA from 10 species
AGGAGCAGCUGUGGCGGCGCGGUAGGAGCCCCACAGCGUCAGGGCGGGGAGGGCGCUUGGAGAUCCCCCGGGUCGGCCCCCUCCGCACCCCGAUCGACUGAGGCCCGGAGAGUUCAGGAACCGGCUCGGGAGACCUCAGCGCCCGAACUCGGAGUUUUCGGACUUUUCAGGCCUCUGCCAAGGGCUUGGACUCGCAGGUGAAAGGACGGGCUCAUCUCACUUUUUUGUCCUGAGAGGGUGAGAAUUGGCCGAGAGGGCGCUUGGUUUUUGUGGGAAUGGGGAGGGAGAAGUUCCAGGAGACUGGCUCCCCGGGCCUUUCAGGAUGGUUUCCAAACCCCAAUCGUGGCUGCCACAGCCACUCGGCACUCCAGUCCCCCCAUCUUUCGAAUGAGUAUUCCUAGGCCCGAAAGGGAAGGUGACUUGCCAUGGCCCCACUGCGGCUUCUCCGCUUAGCGGAGUCUCCAACCUGCGUCUCCUUUAGGACUGCGCUUCCCAACUGUGUGGUAGAGGUAGCCGCUUUCCCUUUUUGGGCCCCAGGUCCCUCGACUGUACCGGGGUCUGGAUCUCUCAAGAGUCCUUGCGUGGUAGAUAUUUAGGGAUAGGCCAAUCACCACCCCCAAUCAUCCGUCUUUGAGAGGCCCAGGAUCUGUCUCUAUUUGAUGGAUAGUGGUGCACGGAUUAAAGACGACGCAGGAUAGGUAACCUCCUCCUCCAAUCCCCCGGGACCAGGGUAGCUCUGAAGACCCCCAGAGGCAGCCAAGCAGCCCCUUCCCGCAGCGGGGAGUGAGGGCUGCGGGUAAUGGGGGAGUGGGAAGAGAGCGGUGGCCGGGUGGGCGCGUCUCCGGGGGAAGGGGCGGGCAGUCGGGACACGUUUGCUUCAUGGGUGUCCAAUUUCUGAGUUCCUUUCCUGCUGUCCCUGAGCCGGAACUUGGUCCUAACCUGAGAUCCUCGCGGCGCGGCCCCUCUGGCCCGGGUUCGUUCCCUGGCCAUUCACUGGGAGAUCCAGGGCCUGUCCUUGUCCCCUCGCAGGGCCUCAGUGUUCUACUCUGUUAAAUAGCAGCUGGAGGGCGUGUGCUGAUCUCCGAGGCCCCUGCUACGUAUAGGAUUCCGGGCCUUGGCGCGGGUUCCAGUGGCUCCAGCCCGGACGCAGCUUUCCGGGGUGGGGGGGGGGGGCGGGCCGGGGCUGUGGGUGCAGAGCCGCGCGGAUGGUGGUGCCAGGUGAGUGUGGGAGAUCCCAAGACGAGAGUUCUGGCCAGUAACGGGUGGCAUGCCUUCCAGGGUUUUAGUCGCGUUCUUCGUGGCGGUGAGCUGAGGGCAGGCUAAGCCCGGCCAAGCGUUGGGCAGCUGCCUUCGGAAGAGCGAGGCAAAGCCCAGAUCCUUGCUCCGUCGACCCGGUGUGUGGAAACGCUCAAAGCGUUUGCUUGACAACCUUCUGCGGCAGAGGGUUGGUCGAACGAAGGGAGAGGGGCUUUACACUCGCUAAACAAAACUCCUGGUUUCCUUCUUCCCAAGUAAUGGAGAAGCAAAAAACCCAGAUUUCGUCCUGUUUCGUUUUUACAAAGGAGGAAAAACUUCAAAUUUUAAAAUUUUUAACUGGAUUAUAUUAUAGGCACCUUUUAAUACGGGAUUUCGUGGCUCUCAGUAACUUUCAAGAUUCUGAGAUUCAGAUAUCUAGAUUUUAAAUUCUGGACGACCGUUGUCCUAACGUGAUUCCAUAAAUCUAAAGAAUGCGAUCCUGCGAUCCUGCGACCCUGUAAUUCUAAGAUUCCAAGACUGGGAGUCUAACUUUGACUAUGCUUAUAUUCCUUUGACUUAAGCUUCUAGUCAAAGUCUAAAAACCUAUGUAUUAAGAUACUGGGACUAAACCAGGCACGGUGGCGGGAGCCUGUAGUCCCAGCUACUGGAGGUUAAGGCAGGAAGAUCGCUUGAGCCCAGGAGUUCCAGGCUGUAGUGCACAAUCAUUGUGCCUGUGAGUAGCCACAGCACUCCAGCCUGUGCAGCAAAGGGAGACCCGGUCUCUUAAAAGCAAAACAAAACAAACAAAAAACGGGGACCUAAGAUUUUGUGCCUGAAAAUAUGAUGCCACUCUUGAAGCUGCCACUUCUCCAGUUUUUUAUUUUUUCCACUCUAAGUUAUAUAUUAUUUAAUUUGAAUUCCUGUUUAGGAAUGUCUGAUUGGAAGAAUUUGAAUCCUGUAAAUCCGCAGUUCUCUCCUUCCUUAAUUCUAAAAUGUUAGUGCUGGAUCUGCUAUUCUGUAGUUCAAAUAAUCUGAUUCCAAUAAUUCUUCUAAUGUUUGUGAUUAUAUGCUGUAAUGAUUAGUCCCAUGACUUUAUGAUCCUCUACUUUUAAGCUGCAACGACUAUGGCUAAAAGCCUUCUUGUCUCAGGAUUUUCUGUUCUUCAGUGUCUUGUGUCUGUGACCUCAUUCUUCUAGAAUUCUGAUGGUUUUCUCAAACUUUGUUAAUAUCAAGCUACUCCUGUGGCCGAGACCAAAUACCUAGCAUCAUGAGAUUAGAAUUUCCAAGAUCAUGAUUCUAAGAUUUUCGCAAACCAAGGACCCCUAAAUUUCUAUUUCAUAAAUGUUCUCUUUGAAUAAUGCAUUUGAAGAUUCUGUGAGUCCACAGUGAGUUCACAUUAAAUGAUUUGGUGAGUACACAGGUCACAAGUUUACCCGUUUGGAUCAAAACCAUACACAAAAAUCUCCUCGGGGCAUUUCCUAUCUCUUCCCAUUGCUUCCUUCUCAGUUUCUUGAGAAGGAACAUGGUCAUGGCCAAGUCCUCCCCUCUUCUCUGCCACAGUGCUCCUUAACGUUUAUGAAUCAUCUGGAAGUUAGGAAGGGCAGGUUCCAGACCCUUGGAAAUCAUUCUCCCAAUCCAGCAGGGGUGGGUUGGUGUUGAUGUGGGCAGGCCAGUGAUUUCUGCUUCCCACUGAUCUUCAGCCCUUCAAGUAUUCCCAGCACCCCUGGAGAAGCCAGCCUGCAGCAGGCCAUUUUAUGUGCAUAGGGGGCUGGAGGUGCUAUUGGGAAUCUUUAGAAGAUGUUCUUCUGCAACAGCUGCUUUCCUCAGUUUUGAAUGGGCGACUUUGUAAAUAAAAACGAGAGGGGUCCAAGGAGUCAAGGAAAAUUCCUCCAGAUUCCUUGACGGAGAUUCCCCUGCAUGCAGACGCAGAGGUAACCAGUUCUUCUAUUAAAGAAACCAUGGAAAUUCAAGCUGGAAGGAGACUGGGCCUGGAUUGUGGAAGGGACUUGUAGAGAGAAAAGCCUUGGGCUGAGAAGGAAACUCAGGUCUUUGGGCCUUACUCUUUGGCCCCAAAGCCUCUCUGUCUUUUCUUGAGUUCUCAGAGCCUUACUUGUACUUAAUUCUUUGGCCUGGGCUGCCCUUUUUACUGAACAACAAAACUCCAGGCGUCCACACUUGCAAAUCUGAUCCAAGGAUCUCCUUACAGCAGCAUCGCAGUGACCUGUUUAGGUUACUCCAGUGCAUUCUGUCUGGGUCAGUGGGCUGUAUGGCCCUAGAGAGCAUCAGAGCAAGACACUGUCACAAAAGGGGGCCCCCAAGUCACACUCGUCCUGCUGACCACAGAAGACAUCCAUGUAAGGCAGCACCAGUGUUGUGAGGGUUUCCACCCAAGAUUGCUCAAGACCCACCCAGCGACUUUAAACCAUCCACUGCCCUUCUUAGGCCUCAGUUUCUCUAUCUGUGAAGUGUGUAUGUGGGGAUAUCCCAUAUCUGUGCUUUCUCUUCCACCGAGUCAAGGUGAUAAAGUGGAGCGCCUUACAGACGCGCGGUCCUCUUCUUCCUCUUUUAAAUUGUUUUAAGGCGAAACUUGGACAUGGAAAAAAGACGCUGGGGAUAAUUCUAGCCUGUUCCACUCACAGGCCGCGAUGAGAUGCGCACACCCCCACCCACCGCCCCUCUCCACGGAAGAAGUAGCGGUUGAUUAAAGUGUAACAUUUUCUGCGGUCUAGCGGGGGAUUUUGAGUCUCCGAGGCUCCCGCGGGCGUGGACCCUUUCGGUUUCCCAGAGCUCGGCAAGCGCUCUCUCCCUUUAAGUUGGUCCACUUAAACACUAUGAACAGCGAAUCACUGUCACCCAGGGGACAGGAUGGAGGAACUGGGGCCCAGGAAGGGGAACCUUCUGCUUCCCACCUCCCCGUUUGCUUAGAUCCCGCCACCAACGUUUCUUACGUAGGUAAGAAGCACCUAGCCUUUCUUACCCCGCUCCCCGCAAGCCCUCCCACAGAGCCCUCUCCCAACCCAGUCUGCGCGGGCCCGGGACACUCAGUGUUCUCAGAGCAGCGGGGAGCGCAGGAGCCGGCUUGGAGGUCCAGCAGCUUUACGGCCACAACGAGAAGGGGAAGUCGGCUCCGGACGGCGCGGACUUGUCCCACUGCGCACAACGAAUCGGGGACAGAGUCAAGCCAGACCCUGCUCCCGCUCUAGGUUGGCUCCACGCGCUUUCCCUGCGUUCCGGACCCGAGGACCACGAAGCGCAAGCCACUACCCGCGUCUGAUCCGACCCAGGCGGGCGGGCGGGAGUU